rnacentral:lncRNA from 1 species
CAAGCCAACUUUUCUCAGCAUUCUCAACAGAGCAAAGAAAUCUCAAAUUAUCUGGAAGGAAACUGGUCCAUGAAAGCAGAGCAACUAUCCAGACAAUUGCUGAUACAGAUUGCUGUCCUCAACAGCACUAGGCUGGACCCCAUCACAAUUGAAGACUUUACCUCAUGGAUUACCAAUGCUUUCUCCUUUUUUAAGGAGUGGGCGGGCAUGUUUGCCUGGGGAGCUAUUGUCCUCCUGGGAUGCGGAGUAUGUCUCUGGCUUAUUGGCCGUUUAAAAAGAGAACAUGCCAGACACAAAGCGAUUGUUUACCAGACUAUGACUGCCAUUGACAAUGGUGCUUCUCCCAAUGUAUGGCUGGCCUCUUUGAAAGAUUAAGAGUUCGCCCUAGAUCAUUUUUGUCACAGUCAUGUGGGGUCAUUGUAUCCAGGGACGGG